AUAAAGUGUGAACCAGUCACCUGGAUUCAAUAGAUUAAUUUUCUGUUGAGGGUCAUUUUUAGCAUAAUGAGCCUUUAUGAUACCUUCAGUCCUGUCCAAACACCGUGCCAGCAGUCGCGGUAAGACGGUAAGGGCUACCCAUCGGGGUCUUAAGUAGGCGUAUAGGGUGUGCAGCCUGUGUUUUAAACACUUGAGUUUUAUUGAGGUAAAACCCACACACGGAAGAGGGCUGAAAUCCAUAGAUACCGCGGUGAGGGCCAAAGGCGAAGGCAUUUUUCCAAAUAAUACUGACGGUGAGACACGAAAGCCAAGUGAGGGAAGCCGAUUAGAGACCGGCGUACUCUUGGCUGUAAACUAUGCAGACCCAAACUUAAUAUUAAAAUAUAAUAUAAUAGUUUGCCGCUAACGCUUUGAGUCUGCCGCCAGCAUGGUACAGCCGCAAGGCCGACACGCAAACGACGAGACCGUUUGUGGUAUUAAUCGGGUGCGGGGCAUGCUGUUUAAUCCGUCAAUACGCGUAAAAUCUUACCAUGUCUUGAAUCUUAACUGAAAAAUUUUUACUAAAUUGAGUUAUGACAGGUGUUGCAUGGCUGUCGUCAGCUAGUGCCAGUGAGGCGUAAGGUUUGGUCCAUUUAACUAGCGCAAACCUUACCAUAUUUUCAUACUAUAUGGUCCUUAUUUUAUGCAAAUUUGGUGUUAAGGGAGCAUGACAAGCCGGCAUGGCCCUUAUGACAUGGGCUA
rnacentral:rRNA from 1 species